AGCUCUCAACGGUGGAUAUCUCGGCUCUCUUUACGAUGAAGAACGCGGCAAAAAGCGAAAUGUAGUGUGAACUGCAAGUUUUCGUGAAUCAUUGAAUCUUUGAACGCAAGUUGCGCUUUCAAGUUUAUUUUUCCUUGGAAGCACGUCUGUUGGAGUGUCU
rfam:Galdieria sulphuraria unplaced genomic scaffold scaf_12, whole genome shotgun sequence.